rnacentral:rRNA from 1 species
UACGUAGGGUGCAAGCGUUGUCCGGAAUCAUUGGGCGUAAAGAGCGUGUAGGCGGCUCGAUUAGUCCGCUGUAAAAGUCCAGGGCUCAACCCUGGGAUGCCGGUGGAAACUGUCGGGCUAGAGUCCGGGAGAGGCGAGUGGAAUUCCUGGUGUAGCGGUGAAAUGCGCAGAUAUCAGGAGGAACACCAAUGGCGAAGGCAGCUCGCUGGAACGGUACUGACGCUGAGACGUGAAAGCGUGGGGAGCAAACAGG